AUACGGAGGAUGCAAGCGUUAUCCGGAUUUAUUGGGUUUAAAGGGUGCGUAGGCGGGACUGUAAGUCAGGGGUAAAAUACUGCAGCUUAACUGUAACAUUGCCUUUGAAACUGCCGUUCUUGAGUACAGUUGAGGUAGGCGGAAUGUGGUGUGUAGCGGUGAAAUGCAUAGAUAUACCACAGAACGCCGAUUGCGAAGGCAGCUUACUAAGCUGUUACUGACGCUGAGGCACGAAAGCGUGGGGAUCAAACAGGAUUAGAUACCCUGGUAGUCCACGCUGUAAACGAUGAUUACUGGUUGUUAGCGAUAUAUAGCUAGUGACUGAGCGAAAGCAUUAAGUAAUCCACCUGGGGAGUACGUCGGCAACGAUGAAACUCAAAGGAAUUGACGGGG
rnacentral:rRNA from 1 species